UUAUUAGAGUGUGGGCUUCCAAC
rnacentral:siRNA from 1 species